rnacentral:rRNA from 1 species
UACGGAGGGUGCAAGCGUUAUCCGGAAUCACUGGGUUUAAAGGGUGCGUAGGCGGCACAAUAAGUCAGAAGUGAAAGGCUGUAGCUUAACUAUGGAAUUGCUUUUGAUACUGUUGAGCUUGAAUUGGGUUGAGGUUAGCGGAAUGAGUCAUGUAGCGGUGAAAUGCAUAGAUAUGACUUGACGCAACUC